rnacentral:lncRNA from 1 species
GAAGGAGAGGAGGAGGAGAUGAGACCAAGGAGAAGAGGUGAAGGAAGAGAGGAGGACACAGAAAAGAGAAGAAAGAGGAGAGGAGGAGACGGAGAAGAGGAGGAGGAGCAGCAAAGGAGGAAGAAGAGGAAGAGGAGUAGAAGAGCAAGUUCCAGUUCUCGGUGCGCCCCGUUCUGCAAGACACUCUCCUGUGGUCAGCCCUGGCCUGCAGAGGAUUCCCGCGCUGGAUCUCUGAGGGAUGCUGGCGCCCUCUCUGCAGCACAUUCCUGAUGCCCUUGCUGACACAUGUGUCCUCUGGGUCCUCUCCUGAAACCUGAUCCUCCGGGGUGUCUUCUGGCCUCACCUCUUCUGUCCAGUUCCAGCAAGCUCACUUUGCUUAGCCUUUGAAUCCCUUCCUUCACUGUCUGCCGUGACAAUUCGGGCCUUUCACCGUCACUCAGGCCUGGACCAUCACUGUUGCCCAUCCCAUGCCAUCAACGGGUUUGCCCCAUCCCUUCGGCUCCCUACCAGGGCAUUCAGUUGUGUUGAGCAGCAGAGUGUCUCCAAGUCCCCACUGGUUGAGCUGCAUCCGGGUCCCAUCCCACAGGGGCCCCCCCUGGCCGCUGCAGGUGCAUGCUGAUCCUGCAGCUCCUCAAGGGUGUCAUCGCUUUCCCCCUUCCCAGACCCAGCACACCCUGCCUGCAUGGCGCUGUGCUGCACCUUCACUCUGGUCACGGGUCUGGCAGUCGGCUCACCAAUUCCUCCCGCUUCCCUGGGACUCGCCGGCUUUUAGCACUGCAAUUCACUCAGCAAACUGGGACUGUUGGUCACCCUACCUGGCAGCCAGUGAUAAGGUGAGGGCCACUCCUGGGAGGGAGGACACCUGUGGGGAAAAUUCUUGUGUUAUUUAUUUCUCCUUCAGGAUAGGGUGCCUGCAGCGCUUCAUGGGAGGGGGUGG